rnacentral:rRNA from 1 species
GAUGAACGUUGGCGACGUGCCUAAGACAUGCAAGACGAACGCUCGUGGCAACACGGGAGUGGCAGACGGGUGAGUAACGCGUGGGAACGUGCCCUUUGGUUCGGAAUAACCCAGGGAAACUUGGGCUAAUACCGGAUAAGCCCCUUACGGGGGAAAGAUUUAUCGCCGAAGGAUCGGCCCGCGUCCGAUUAGCUAGUUGGUGAGGUAACGGCUCACCAAGGCGACGAUCGGUAGCUGGUCUGAGAGGAUGAUCAGCCACACUGGGACUGAGACACGGCCCAGACUCCUACGGGAGGCAGCAGUGGGGAAUAUUGGACAAUGGGGGCAACCCUGAUCCAGCCAUGCCGCGUGAGUGAUGAAGGCCUUAGGGUUGUAAAGCUCUUUCGACGGGGACGAUGAUGACGGUACCCGUAGAAGAAGCCCCGGCUAACUUCGUGCCAGCCGCCGCGGUAA